rnacentral:rRNA from 1 species
AGCAGCCGCGGUAAUUCCAGCUCCAAUAGCGUAUAUUAAAGUUGUUGCAGUUAAAAAGCUCGUAGUUGAAUUUCGGGAUCAAUAUGUCGGUCGUGCCUUCGGUACGUACUGGUAUCAUUGGUCUCUCCUUUCUGACGAACCAUGAUGUCAUUAAUUUGGUGUUAUGGGGAGUUAGGACUGUUACUUUGAAAAAUUAGAGUGUUUAAAGCAGGCUUUAGCUUGAAUACAUUAGCAUGGAAUAAUGAAAUAGGACGUUCGAACCUAUUUUGUUGGUUUCUAGGAUCAACGUAAUGAUUAAUAGGGAUAGUUGGGGGCAUUAGUAUUCAAUUGUCAGAGGUGAAAUUCUUGGAUUUAUUGAAGACUAACUACCGCGAAAGCAUUUGCCAAGGAUGUUUUCAUUAAUCAAGAACGAAAGUUAGGGGAUCGAAGACGAUCAGAUACCGUCGUAGUCUUAACCAUAAACUAUGCCGACUAGGGAUCGGAUGAUGUUAAUUUUUUAAUGUACUCAUUCGGCGCCUUA